GAUGUCUAGAACUCCUUCUUGAUCAACUGCUGGAUGACGUCCAAAUAGAAAAGUAUGCUCCAGCCCCUCUGGAUUUGGAUGGAGACCCUGGUGGCCGGGUGCAUGAAGGUUCCCGGGACAGCUUUUUGCCACAGGAAGAAACAGGAAGUACAGGCAUGGAUACUUCAAGCCCUAGAAAAACACUCUAGUUCUGCAAAGAGUCCCAGCAUUCCCAAAUCACAGCCCUUUGCAGCCUCCCCAGGUGGCACAGCCAUCUGGACCAGGCCAAGCACAGGCCCCCACUCAGAGUGGGUUCAUAGACUCUCUGGAGCUCUUCCUUGAUCAACUGCUGACCGAAGUCCAACUUGAGGAGCAGGGGCCUGCCCCUGUGAAUGUGGAGGAAACAUGGGAGCAAAUGGACACAACACCUGAUCUGCCUCUCACUCCAGAAGAAUAUCAGACUCUUCUAGAUAUGC
rnacentral:lncRNA from 1 species